rnacentral:misc_RNA from 1 species
GAUGAAGAACGUAGCAAAAUGCGAUAAGUAAUGUGAAUUGCAGAAUUCAGUGAAUCAUCGAAUCUUUGAACGCACAUUGCGCCCGCCAGUAUUCUGGCGGGCAUGCCUGUUCGAGCGUCAUUUCAACCCUCAAGCACAGCUUGGUGUUGGGACUCGCGUUAAUUCGCGUUCCUCAAAUCGAUUGGCGGUCACGUCGAGCUUCCAUAGCGUAGUAGUAAAACCCUCGUUACUGGUAAUCGUCGCGGCCACGCCGUUAAACCCCAACUUCUGAAUGUUGACCUCGGAUCAGGUAGGAAUACCCGCUGAACUUAAGCAUAUCAAUAAGCGGAGGA